rnacentral:tRNA from 1 species
AUCAUUUUGGCAGAAAAGUGCCUCGAGUUUAGGAUUCGAAAAUAUAAUUAUUUAUAAGUGAUA